rnacentral:rRNA from 1 species
AACGCGAAGAACCUUACCAACCUUUGACAUGGGACGUAUGGUUGCCAGAGAUGGUGGCCUUCAGUUCGGCUGGCGUCCACACAGGUGCUGCAUGGCUGUCGUCAGCUCGUGUCGUGAGAUGUUGGGUUAAGUCCCGCAACGAGCGCAACCCUCAUCUUCAGUUGCCAUCAGUUCGGCUGGGCACUCUGAAGAAACUGCCGGUGACAAGCCGGAGGAAGGUGGGGAUGACGUCAAGUCCUCAUGGCCCUUACAGGUUGGGCUACACACGUGCUACAAUGGCGGUGACAAUGGGUUGCGAGUCCGCGAGGGCAAGCUAAUCUCAAAAAGCCGUCUCAGUUCGGAUUGCACUCUGCAACUCGAGUGCAUGAAGUCGGAAUCGCUAGUAAUCGUGGAUCAGCAUGCCACGGUGAAUACGUUCCCGGGCCUUGUACACACCGCUACAGU